rnacentral:rRNA from 1 species
GAUGAACGCUGGCGGCGUGCCUAAUACAUGCAAGUCGAGCGAACGGACGAGAAGCUUGCUUCUCUGAUGUUAGCGGCGGACGGGUGAGUAACACGUGGAUAACCUACCUAUAAGACUGGGAUAACUUCGGGAAACCGGAGCUAAUACCGGAUGAUAUUUUGAACCGCAUGGUUCCAAAGUGAAAGACGGUCUUGCUGUCACUUAUAGAUGGAUCCGCGCUGCAUUAGCUAGUUGGUAAGGUAACGGCUUACCAAGGCAACGAUGCAUAGCCGACCUGAGAGGGUGAACGGCCACAUGGGAACUGAGAAACGGUCCAGACUCCUACGGGGGGCAGCAGUAGGGAAUCUUCCGCAAUGGGCGAAAGCCUGACGGAGCAACGCCGCGUGAGUGAUGAAGGUCUUCGGAUCGUAAAACUCUGUUAUUAGGGAAGAAGAUAUGUGUAAGUAACUGUGCACAUCUUGACGGUACCUAAUCAGAAAGCCACGGCUAACUACGUG